rnacentral:sRNA from 1 species
CCCAGGACUUCGUCCUGGGCUGUCAUGGCGCGGCCUUUCAGGCCU